UGGACUGCUCGUUCUCUCCAGAAGGACAUACUAUGGGCAUCAGGCCUGGGAUAAGAAUGUUUUGUCUGGUGACAGAUAUACUCAUGACCCAGUAUAGAAUACACUGCAGGUGCACAGCCUGUCAAGAGGCCAAAUACUACGUUGUACGUGCUUGCUAUUAUCAGACAAUUUGCAAAAAUAAAAGAGCCUUGAGCCAGGAGACCAGUGCUUCGGCUCCUGGAGAGUCAGCCCCCUGCUGACUCACGGCAACUUCAGACCCUGUCUCUCUACAGCUGGCGCCAGAACAGGGACCUGAAGGUGGACAUUUGCCACAGGGCUGAAGAACUGCCAUGGAAACCAAAGGGAACUUUGGAGCCGGGAAGCUCAGCCUUCGAGAUUUCUGCAGGUCUGUGCCAGAGACGACGAGCCUGUCAACAUAUCGACCGACAGUUCGGGUCAUGCAAUGUCCUCCUACAGUCCAUCAAAUACAAAGAGAAAGGGGGAGAUGCUGGAGAACAACAGGCCGGAGGCACCUUAAGAAUGUCCUGAAGGAAAGGGACAGAGCAGCAAGAAACUGAAAGCAGUUUCAUUCCCAGGACAAAAGGCCGCCGGGACUGCUCCUUCUCUCCAGAAGGACAUCACCCGGAAGCCACCCUGGGGAUAGGAAUGUUUUGUCUGGUGCCAGAUGAACUCAUGACACAGUAUGGAAAACACUGCAGGUACAUGACCUGUCAAGAAGCCAAAUACUAUGUUGUAUGUGCUUGCUGUUGUCAACAAUUUGCAAAAAUCAAAGAGGCCUGAGCCAGGGGACCGAGGCUUUGGCUCCUGGAGAGUCUUAGCCCCCUGCUUUGCAAUCCUCUCAUACCACAUCUUUAUAGGACCUGUCUCUCUACAUAUUCCACACUCUCAUUUUCUUUAUGUAUAUUAUUACCAAUAUAUGUGUGUGACAUUUC